GGUAUUGAAAUAAGAUUUUAAAUGGGUGCUAAGAGAAUGAUUAAACAAUUCAAAAAUAAAAAUUAGGGACAAGAAGACCCUAUGAAUUUUUUUAUUUUUUAUAGACUUUCUUUAAUUAAAUAAUUAAAUUUAAUUUUUUUAGUGCAAAAGAAAUAAAUUUUAUUAAAUUUAUUAAAAAAUUUAAUUGGGGUGAUGAAAAAAGAAUAAAUAUCUUUUUAUGUAUUAAAAAUUGGUUCCGUUUUUAACGAUUAAAUGAAAAAAAUACUCUAGGGAUAACAGCGUAAUAAUUUUGGAUAGUUCAUAUAGAUGAAAUAGUUUGCGACCUCGAUGUUGGAUUAGGAUUC
rnacentral:rRNA from 1 species